GACGAACGCUGGCGGCGUGCUUAACACAUGCAAGUCGAACGGAAAGGCCCCCUUGUGGGGUACUCGAGUGGCGAACGGGUGAGUAACACGUGAGUAACCUACCCUUGACUUUGGGAUAACUUCAGGAAACUGGGGCUAAUGCCGGAUAGGAGCUCCUGCUGCAUGGUGGGGGUUGGAAAGUUUCGGCGGUUGGGGAUGGACUCGCGGCUUAUCAGCUUGUUGGUGGGGUAGUGGCUCACCAAGGCUUUGACGGGUAGCCGGCCUGAGAGGGUGACCGGCCACAUUGGGACUGAGAUACGGCCCAGACUCCUACGGGAGGCAGCAGUGGGGAAUAUUGCACAAUGGGCGGAAGCCUGAUGCAGCAACGCCGCGUGCGGGAUGACGGCCUUCGGGUUGUAAACCGCUUUCGCCUGUGACGAAGCGUGAGUGACGGUAAUGGGUAAAGAAGCACCGGCUAACUACGUG
rnacentral:rRNA from 1 species